rnacentral:rRNA from 1 species
CAGUAGCCGCGGGAAAACGAAGGGGGCUAGCGUUGUUCGGAAUUACUGGGCGUAAAGCGCACGUAGGCGGAUAUUUAAGUCAGGGGUGAAAUCCCGCAGCUCAACUGCGAAACUGCCUUUGAUACUGGGUAUCUUGAGUAUGGAAGAGGUUAGUGGAAUUGCGAGUGUAGAAGUGAAAUUCGUAGAUAUUCGCAGGAACACCAGUGGCGAAGGCGGCUAACUGGUCCAUAACUGACGCUGAGGUGCGAAAGCGUGGGGAGCAAACAGGAUUAGAUACCCCGGUAGUCCCUGUCUCUUAUAC